rnacentral:lncRNA from 1 species
GUUUGAUUUUAUUUUAUAUCUGUGAUAUAAAUCUUUGAUCCUUAUUUUAGCUUUGUCUGGAAUUCAACUACUAAGGAACACGCUAAAGAUGUCUCUGAUUUUCUGUCAGGACCAGGAUUUUCACAGAAUUCAGUGUAAGUUUCAGAGAGAACUUCCAAAGGGAAGGAAAUCCUUCAAGGAGAAGUGGAAGAGGAUGGAAGCUGGGUCCUUCUUCCCAUUUCCACAUCCAGAGGUGUCCUUGCUCCGGGAUCUGCAGGGGACAAACCCCAGGGAGGGGGAGAGCUGAGCUCCACCUGCACGACAGGUAAUGCCAGGCUGUAGGCAAACAUCAAUAUUUUCUAUAUAAACAGGAAAUUAAAAGGGAAAUCUAAGAACAUGGGGAGCAAAGGCUUGAAAGAUGUCUCAGUGGAAAUUCAGCUCGCCCCAAG